rnacentral:rRNA from 1 species
CCGGCGAGGGGAGUGAAAAAGAACCUGAAACCGUGUACGUACAAGCAGUGGGAGCACCCUUCGGGGUGUGACUGCGUACCUUUUGUAUAAUGGGUCAGCGACUUAUAUUCUGUAGCAAGGUUAACCGUAUAGGGGAGCCGGAGGGAAACCGAGUCUUAAUUGGGCGUUAAGUUGCAGGGUAUAGACCCGAAACCCGGUGAUCUAGCCAUGGGCAGG